rnacentral:rRNA from 2 species
ACCUACUCCUAUGGAGGCAGCAGUAGGGAAUCUUCCGCAAUGGACGAAAGUCUGACGGAGCAACGCCGCGUGAGUGAUGAAGGCUUUCGGGUCGUAAAACUCUGUUGUUAGGGAAGAACAAGUACAAGAGUAACUGCUUGUACCUUGACGGUACCUAACCAGAAAGCCACGGCUAACUACGUGCCAGCAGCCGCGGUAAUACGUAGGUGGCAAGCGUUAUCCGGAAUUAUUGGGCGUAAAGCGCGCGCAGGCGGUUUCUUAAGUCUGAUGUGAAAGCCCACGGCUCAACCGUGGAGGGUCAUUGGAAACUGGGGAACUGAGUCAGAAGAGAAAAGCGAUGCACCU